rnacentral:tRNA from 1 species
GGAGAGGUGGCAGAGUGGCUGAAUGCAACUGCCUGCUAAGCAGUUAGCUGCCGCAAGGCGGCUCUCGGGUUCAAAUCCCGACCUCUCCG